AGCGAACGCUGGCGGCGUGCUUAACACAUGCAAGUCGAGCGAGAAAGGGGGCUUCGGCCCCUGAGUACAGCGGCGAACGGGUGCGUAAUGCAUGAGCAAUCUACCCUUGAGGCGGGAAUAACCCAGCGAAAGUUGGGCUAAUACCGGAUAAGACCACAAGAGGAGACCCUAGAGGCUAAAGGCAGCUCUCUUUUGGGGGCGGCCCUUUGAGGAGGAGCUCAUGUCCUAUCAGCUAGUUGGUAGGGUAACGGCCUACCAAGGCGAAGACGGGUAGCUGGUCUUAGAGGAUGAUCAGCCACACGGGGACUGAGACACGGCCCCGACUCCUACGGGAGGCAGCAGUGGGAAUAUUGGGCAAUGGGGGAAACCCUGACCCAGCGACGCCGCGUGGGUGAUGACGGCCU
rnacentral:rRNA from 1 species